UGGGGAAUAUUGCACAAUGGGCGCAAGCCUGAUGCAGCCAUGCCGCGUGUGUGAAGAAGGCCUUCGGGUUGUAAAGCACUUUCAGCGGGGAGGAAGGCGAUAAGGUUAAUAACCUUGUCGAUUGACGUUACCCGCAGAAGAAGCACCGGCUAACUCCGUGCCAGCAGCCGCGGUAAUACGGAGGGUGCAAGCGUUAAUCGGAAUUACUGGGCGUAAAGCGCACGCAGGCGGUCUGUCAAGUCGGAUGUGAAAUCCCCGGGCUCAACCUGGGAACUGCAUUCGAAACUGGCAGGCUAGAGUCUUGUAGAGGGGGGUAGAAUUCCAGGUGUAGCGGUGAAAUGCGUAGAGAUCUGGAGGAAUACCGGUGGCGAAGGCGGCCCCCUGGACAAAGACUGACGCUCAGGUGCGAAAGCGUGUGGAGCAAACAGG
rnacentral:rRNA from 1 species